CUGGAGUUGAUGCAUCAAAUCAAACUGACUUGCACUGAUGGUCGUUUGUAUUCAUACUGUCUGAUCCAG